rnacentral:rRNA from 1 species
UACAGAGGUCUCAAGCGUUGUUCGGAUUCAUUGGGCGUAAAGGGUGCGUAGGUGGCGCGCUAAGUCAGGUGUGAAAUCUCGGGGCUUAACUCCGAAACUGCAUUUGAUACUGGCGUGCUUGAGGACUGGAGAGGAGACUGGAAUUCAUGGUGUAGCAGUGAAAUGCGUAGAGAUCAUGAGGAAGACCAGUGGCGAAGGCGGGUCUCUGGACAGUUCCUGACACUUAUGCACGAAGGCCAGGGGAGCAAACGGG